CGAGUCUGUCUCCUGGCACAGUGGCUUGGGACCUCUCCAGGUUGCCAGGCGCAUUUUCCAGUCAGCUGCUGGGUCCCUUUAAGAGAGCUGGCCCCUCUUAUUGGCUGAGCAAGGCUCCUCCUACCUCUUUACCUGCACAGGUGACAGAAGCCGGGCUUAGGAACCCAGAUGGAAGUCUGGUCCCCAGGGGUGAAGGGGCACAUCCAGUCCACAGCGCUCUUGGCAGGAAGGUUGGCAGUGCAGGUUGUCUGGGGAUCCAAACCCAAGGCUCUUCCUUUGACUCCUCACACAGUGCUUCUGGGGCACACCACCAGCCUGUCGGUGAGGACUGUGGCAAGUCACCCACUGCCUCAGCUUCUUCAUCUGUGAAGUGGUACAGUCACGCCUGUGAGUCUAUACUCACUAUAUGAAGCAUUGGUGUUCAGCAAAUAUCCUGUGCCUGCCACUGUUUUUGCUUCUAGGAAGACAUCAGUGAAAAAGUCAAGAGCACUACUCUUCCUGAGUUGAUAUUGUAGACCGAGGGGGUGUGGAUAUAAACAAGGCAGUAGAUUAGACUGGUAAUCAUGCCAUGAAGAUUGAAAUAAGCUGCUAUGCUAAAGGAAUGAGGGAUGAAUAUUUUUGAUUGUGUGGUCAGGGAGGCCCACUUCAGGGAGGUGAUUUGGAAGGUGAUCUAGCAUGAUGCAAAAGCUGGGACAAGUGCAAGGGCCCGGGGGCAGACAUGUUUGGAGAACACAAAGGAAGCCGCUGUGGCCAAAAUCCAGACCACAAAACCCCUGUUUUCCCUCUUUUAAUACAGAAGGAAGUCAUUCAGAGAGGUGACUUAAUGUGCCCAAGACUCCCUUCUUUACUGUACUGUUCUCCUUCCUGUCCUUGUCCUCAUAUACUAGGGAGAGAAACUGAAGCCCAGCGGUCAUUCUUCUAGCCCACAGUGCUGUGACCUCAAACUGCCUCCACUCUAGGCACAUGCAAGCUCUCAGAGAGGAGGGACUAUGAUUCUAGGAGUGUACUAUAUUGAAGAACAAAAUCUUGACUGACAGAAUGUGGUAUUAAAAGUUCUACCAGGCAGUCACAUGGGGUCAACACAGACCCUCGUUGCUCAAUUCCUUCCCACCUUAAAUUUCAGAGGUUUUUCAUUAGAUUUUUAAAAAUAGCCGGCUGUUUUCUGCCAUUAUAUUGCUGCUGGUAGGUUCGGCCUUGUUAUUCUGAGAUUGGUGGGUAAUGGCAUGAGGUAAAGCGCAUCAUUAAUGCGGGUAUUGUUGAGGAGCAGGACUUUUGGGAUGAAGGAUUUGCAAAUAAAAGAGGAAAGGGGUUACAUAAAGACCUUACAAUUCUGGAUUUAUUGGAAACAAAGCUUUUGUAAAUAAGGAGGGGAGGAGGGGAGGGGAAUGAGAAUAAAAGAAGCAAGAUACAUCAUGUACAGGUACAAACUUCCUAUGAUGAAUUUUAUCAUGAUGUUUAUAUAAAAUGUACCAAUAAAAGAACAAUUCUG